rnacentral:tRNA from 1 species
CAAGGAGACCAUCCGUCUGGUCGCCGAUGCCAUGGCCCGGGUGCAGGAUGAAACCGGUCAGGCCAAGCUGUUCUCG